GUCCAAAACUGAACCGAAAAUGCAAGACUUGCCAAAAUUCUUUCCUUCAAUUUCUUUCUUUAACAUUUACUAUAAUGGAACUCGUGUUAUUUACACUGUGCUAGAUCAAUACAUAUUUAAAACACUGACAGAGAACAAUUAAAGGAAGUCUUGCAUUUUCGGUUCAGUUUUAACCAAGAUUUUCCGAAGUUGACAAGUGUCUCUUUCUCGCUCCGCCCCUCCGUGCUACGUCAUGUAAUGUACACUAUAGUGGAUCGAUAUGACAAUGAAAGAGAGACUUGGAGCAAGUCUACCC